rnacentral:lncRNA from 1 species
AAAUGUUAAGUAUUAAAUAAUGAUUUUUCAGAAGAAAAAAAUUAUGAAAUUGUGAGCAUUUCUGUAACUCUGGGUUGGUGCAUCUGUUAUAAUUGUUGUGAUUGAGUUGUCUUUGCUUUUGAUGUAUAUGGGAAUUAAGAAAUACAAGCAAGGAUGAUAGCUUGGAUUUUCAAUCUGUAACCAAUGACUUCAAAAGAGGCACCGGACCUAAGAAAUUAUAAGUGCCCCUAAAGUGUUUGUAAAAAUGAUUGAGUUGAAUGAACCACUUAGUUUGUUAAGGUAGAGGAGAGUCUUCAGUGAUUUGGUACCUGCAGUAUUAUGAUUUGUCAAAGGAGACUCUGCAGAUUAUUUUUGGAAGGUUGUUUUUAGUGUGAAAUGUAGAAUUUUGAAUUUACCCAUCUUAGUUUAAUGAUCAAAUAUGGUUUUUUCCUUUAUAUGUUGUUUUUUUAUCGUUUUUGUUUAUUCUUUCAAUCACACUAUUUGACUGUUUCUUUUCUUGGUUCAGUAUUUACUCCUCCGUUCAUUUCCGAUGGAGCCAUCCGAAAAUGCCACUGCUUAACCAUUUGUGACAGCAAAGAUUAUUCUUCAAGCAUUAACACAUAUAUACCUGUCCAACAUUUUCUUUGAUGCAUGUUUUGUAUGCAUAAAUAGUUUUUUAUUUUUUUUAUAUGUUGGAUCUUCACUUGGAUACCAGGGAUUAUUCUUCAUUACUAUGUCAAUAAUUACUAUUUCAUUGUAUGAUUCUUCAUAAUCUUGUCUUUUAGUGAAGGUUGUGCAUACCAGGGAGCAGUGUUUCUGCAUUUUUACUUGUGUCUUAAUUUUGUAUCAAGAGUAAUGAAUCUUGAUGAAGGUCCUCAGCCUCAAACAGUGUUGAAACUAUUUACCAAUGGAUCUAACUUGAACAUGUCAGAUUGUCAAAUGAGAUGCUACAGAUUUAUUGAUUAGGGAAUAGGUACUUAAUUUAACUGUUAAAGUUAUACAUGUUAGGAUUGUGAGUCUAAAUAGCAUGUUGAAUAGAAAUAAAAA